UACGUAGGGGGCAAGCGUUGUCCGGAUUUAUUGGGCGUAAAGAGCUCGUAGGCGGUCUGUCACGUCGGCUGUGAAAACCCGAGGCUCAACCUCGGGCCUGCAGUCGAUACGGGGCAGACUAGAGUUCGGUAGGGGAGACUGGAAUUCCUGGUGUAGCGGUGAAAUGCGCAGAGUAUCAGGAGGAACACCGGUGGCGAAGGCGGGUCGUCUGGGCCGAAGCUGACGCUGGAGGAGCGAAAGCAUGGGAGCGAACAGG
rnacentral:rRNA from 1 species